rfam:Erythranthe guttata cultivar DTN x IM62 scaffold_62_contig_20, whole genome shotgun sequence.
GAUGGAAUAACCCAGUUGGUUACAGCGUGUGGCUGUUAACCACAAGAUCGGAGGUUCGACCCCUCUUCUAGUG